rnacentral:rRNA from 1 species
UGGGGAAUAUUGCACAAUGGACGGAAGUCUGAUGCAGCAACGCCGCGUGCGGGAUGACGGCCUUCGGGUUGUAAACCGCUUUUUCUCAUGACGAAGUUUUUUGACGGUAGUGGGGGAAGAAGCACCGGCUAACUACGUGCCAGCAGCCGCGGUGAUACGUAGGGUGCGAGCGUUGUCCGGAAUUAUUGGGCGUAAAGAGCUUGUAGGUGGUUUGUCGCGUCUGUCGUGAAAUCCUGUGGCUUAACCAUGGGCUUGCGGUGGGUACGGGCAGGCUUGAGUGCGGUAGGGGAGACUGGAAUUCCUGGUGUAGCGGUGGAAUGCGCAGAUAUCAGGAGGAACACCGGUGGCGAAGGCGGGUCUCUGGGCCGUUACUGACACUGAGGAGCGAAAGCGUGGGGAGCGAACAGG